CUACCAUCUGUGGCAGGGAGCAAUAACUGGGGAGGAGCCACUUCAGGAACAGGUGGGAUUGCUGGAACCUUCUAGCAGCAGAUCAGUGACUUCACACCUGACUAUGCCUGGUUUUGUGAACACCCUAAGGAGAAUGGGGGCAGUGAGUGAGGGGAGUAUCAAUUCGCAGACAAGCAGAUGCUAUCCUUUCUGUAACCUGUGAACUCACUUAAAUACCUCCUGUCACUUCUCUGAUCUCUAGAUAGCACUGGAUAUUCCACACAUCCAACCCUAGACUCAGGGAGCCCUUCUCAUAUACAACACAAAAGGCAAUCUCAGAUGCCUCCUCAUUGGUGAUAGACACAGUGUUAAAACAGCAGCAUCAAGACAACUUUGGAAGAAACUCUGUGUACUGAUAUGGAAAUUUCCUGGUAAGGAAACAACUGUCAAGUGAGUUAUGAAUGAACAUAAAGAACAUCUUGAGCCCAAGAAGAAUGUAAACAUAGUGUCUACCAUGGAGCUUCAGGGAAUAUGACUAGCCUGGCUCUACAUGAUGUACGAAUAAGAAAGGACUUCCUGUAUAGGCUACCAUUUGCCUAAGAAUUAGGGACAUCAACUGACACAUGAGAGGUCAUAAAACUACAAAGCUCCAAGAGAAAUAUCAACUUGGAUAAUAAAAAUGUGUACAUGUACACUAUUGAAUACCAUUCAUCUGUAAUUAAAAAUGAAAUCACUA
rnacentral:lncRNA from 1 species